rnacentral:rRNA from 1 species
CAGCGCCACGAGUGGCAACCGCGAUUAUUGGGCCUAAAGCGUCCGUAGCCGGUUCAGCAAAUCUUUUGUGAAAUUGUACGGCUUAACCGUACAACGUGCAAGGGACACUACUGAACUUGAGACCGGGAGGAGUCAGAAGUAUUCCAGAGGGAGCGGUAAAAUGUUAUAAUCUCUGGAGGACUACCUGUGGCGAAGGCGUCUGACCAGAACGGAUCUGACGGUGAGGGACGAAAGCUAGGGGAGCGAACCGGAUUAGAUACCCGAGUAGUCC